AGCAGAUUACAGCAGCCUUAAAGAUUGUUGGCCAUUAACGGUUAUCCAUGGCACUAAAACUACUUGAUCUCAAUACAUUCACCUCACAACACUUGUUGGCGAAAACAUGUGCUAUAGCACCAAAGUAGUUGAGGUCAAAUUAAUGAGGUGAUAGCUAAACUCCUUAAACUGGAUAUAUUUGUGUUUUGUUUGCUUCAAGUAUAUAGACAUAUAUUCCUUGAUCAAAACUCAUUGACACUGCUACCACUAAUUUGCUUCAGGUCAUCGACUUGAAGAUUGAUAAAUAUGGUUCUGUUAUUAUGCAGGAGUUGUGUGAUCUGAGGAGAAACUAUUCUCUUGCAAAUCGGAUAAUUGUUGUAGGAAUUAAAAGGCACACGAUUGUACUAUUGUUCUGGGAUUUCGUUUCUUACGUUCCUCGACCCUAAUGUCUACAUGAGAUGCCGCACCAAAGAAAAUGCUCUCAGCCUUGGACGAUCCAUUCACUCGAUUCUUGAAACCAUUACCUUUUCUGAAGCAAGACUAGCUAGCACCCAAGGUGCCCUGGCAGGUGUACGUUUAUCCAUUGGCUACCCGUUGGAGCAUCACUUGCGGUGCUCUUUGUAAUGUCACUUGGUGGGUUUUGCAGAAAUGACUGUCUAGAGACGUUUUAUCUUGAUAAUUGACAACAUAAGAGUGCAAAAUAUUUGACAGCAGAUCGCUUAUGGGGUCAUCAAGGAAACUCAAUAGAUGGCUAUUUCAGUGGAGAUUAUACCAGAGAUGUUGUUUUGAAAGUAUAUGCCAGGAGAGAAAGAUAUACUUGAAACCCGAUGAGGUCAAUGAUGUGGAGAUUUUACCAGAGAUGUUGUUUUCAAGUAAGAUUUUGUGUGAGAUUAUACCGAUCGCACCAGCACGCCACAUUGUUGCUCCACGGCAAAGGCAGCGAGACUGAUCCCGGAGAGGAGAACAAGCCUCCGAGCCACGUGCUCGUCAACUCCAUGCUGGCCGCUCCAAGCGCCCCUGCUUCGUGUCUUCAAGGCAGGCGCCGAGAUAGCCUUUGCAGCGAGCUGUGGUGUGUGGACUCUGCGGCGAGAUGGGAUUCAGAAUCCUUUUCCGUGAUAGCACAUCCAAGGAAGGAAGGAGAUUGAGGUUGGCACCUCCUGAAGGCAUGCAUGCUCUUCACCGAGAGAGGGAAGGGCAUCUUUUUUCUUGGGUUGCAGUUUCCACCUUGUUGUUGGGUGAGGU